GAGAAUUUUAGAAAAUAUAUUCCUGAUCUAAACAGCCUGGCUACAGGAGAAACGAGACAAGCUGUGAGGAACUGUGUGGCACUGAAAGGCCAAAACCGCGACCCACCCAAUGCAAUUCCUGUAAAUGCAACAUACCAAGGGUUCUGCUAGCGACAUUUUUGGGACCCAUGAUCCUUCCCAUUUCGGGACUUACUGAAACUGGUCACAAUGGCUCUUGGGGUACUGGGCAGACCAUGACCCGUCUGACUUUGAGGAAGGAAAAAGCAGCUCAACUGAGCCCUACAGAGGCCAGCCAACGCGGGGCGAGUGAGCCAGAUUUGUUCCAGACUCACACAUCAACGGGAGUGUGAGCUGAAUUCCCGCGGCAGGACCUGUCGAACGGAUGAUGUGACCGCCAGGACGAGCAGCC